UCCCGUGGGCGCCACCCCCGCCUCUCCUGCUGGGCGGGCCCCGGGGAGCCACAGGCAGACCACCGAGGCCUUCCCUCGGCCGCCCUGCCGUAGGACCCCCUCAAACUGCCUUGGGCUUUUCUGCCCUUGGGGUCGCUGAAACUGCUAGCCAAAGGUCCCUGCAGGAGGGUCCCACAGCCAGAAGAGUGUGCCCCACAGCGGCGGGGCCUGCGAAGGGCCCCCUGCGGGGUAGUGUGAGAGCUCUCGGCCUGGAAGCCCCGUCAUUGCUCCUGCUACCCGUAGGCACACACCAGCCCGGGUUGCUCCAAGCCGGGCGUGGCUUCCUCCCUGCCCUUUAUAAUCACCACUCAUUGUUGGAAGAUGAGGACAUUGGGAACCCAGUUAAGUGACUUGACUGUGGGGUAUGCUGUGACUCCUGUGCUAUGUAUAAAUUCUGUCCGUUUGAAGUCCCGAUCUUCAAGAGCCCCAUGUUGGAUUCAACUGGGAGAAAUAACAAGUGUGGUAGAGAGGCCGUGAGUGGAUGAAUCGACAUUUCCUGCAGACCUGUCGCUUCGAUGAUUUCAGUUUACAACCACAACAGUGCAGGAGAGUGAAGUUGCUGUGCCCAUUUCACAGACGAGGCCGCUGAGGAU